UUCUAGACACUCUAGCCUACGGGGAA
rnacentral:misc_RNA from 1 species